UUGCAACUGAGGAGGGUCUGGCUGUCAUGGCUCAUUGUUGUGUCUCUGCCUUCUCCUUCUCCUAGGCUCCACAUCUCCUGGUUUGGGUUUGUGUCACCUGUUGCAGUCGUCAUUUAUCCACACAUCCUUCACUCACCCACACACCUCACACACUACUGAUA